ACAAUAAAGUUAAACAUUUUUGUUAUGAGUAAGAAUCAAAAGAUUGUAUUAUUUCAUCACAUUGCAAAAUCCCAUAUACAAUAGAACAAAGAAUCAAUACAAUAACAUUUCAUCAUUCAAGCAAAUCCAAACUCUCAAGCUUCUUAAUGCCUUAAUACAGCAAAUAAGGACACGAGCAAAGAAGUUCCAAUCAAAGCACCAGAGACCGGCAAAGAGAAACCCGCCCCAGCAUCAGGCGACGGAGCUGGUGCAAGACUAGGCUCCUGAGCCGAAACAGUAA
rnacentral:lncRNA from 1 species